CAUCGCCGCGGUAAUACGAAGGUCCCGAGCGUUGUUCGGAAUCACUGGGCGUAAAGGGAGCGUAGGCGGCGUGGUAAGUCAGAUGUGAAAUCCCGGGGCUCAACCCCGGAACUGCAUCCGAUACUGCCAUGCUAGAGGAUUGGAGAGGUAGCCGGAAUUCUUGGUGUAGCAGUGAAAUGCGUGGAGAUCAAGAGGAACACUCGUGGCGAAAGCGAGCUACUGGACAAUAACUGACGCUGAGGCUCGAAGGCCAGGGUAGCGAAAGGGAUUAGAUACCCCUGUAGUCCCUGUCUCUUAUACC
rnacentral:rRNA from 1 species